rnacentral:rRNA from 1 species
GGAAUAUUGGUCAAUGGGCGCAAGCCUGAACCAGCCAUGCCGCGUGCAGGAAGACGGUCCUAUGGAUUGUAAACUGCUUUUAUUCGAGAAUACACCCCCUGUCGUGUAUAGGGGCUGAAGGUACCGAAUGAAUAAGCACCGGCCAACUCCGUGCCAGCAGCCGCGGUAAUACGGAGGGUGCAAGCGUUAGCCGGAAUCAUUGGGUUUAAAGGGUCCGCAGGCGGACAUAUAAGUCAGUGGUGAAAUCCCAUCGCUUAACGACGGAACUGCCAUUGAUACUGUAUGUCUUGAAUUCGGUCGAAGUGGGCGGAAUAUGUCAUGUAGCGGUGAAAUGCUUAGAUAUGACAUAGAACACCGAUAGCGAAGGCAGCUCACUAGGCCUGGAUUGACGCUCAGGGACGAAAGCGUGGGGAGCAAAC